AUGGACUGUGGGUAAUAAUAAUUGGGCCGUGGGCAACAAACUAAGAGUCCAAAACUAUUUAGAUUGUUUUUUCGUAUUUUUCUUUGCUUCUGCAAUGGACCGUUGGUAAAAAAAAUCUGGUGUUCUUUGAGUGAAGAGAGAAUCGAUUCGAUCUCAAACAACAAAGUCAAUCUGAUUCUCUCAUCUUCUUCUCAAAGAAGAUUCUAAUGUAAUCGAAUCGAUUGGAACCUUUUUCUCUCAUCUUCUUCUUCCUCAUCAAUUAGUAAGAAGAAAUUGGAGUUUUUGCUCUACUCAAACUCUCCCUCAUUGUUUCCUUUCAAUCUAACGAUAGAGAAUCAUCAAAAUAGGUAUUUUGAAUCUUCGAUCUUCAGUUUAAAGUUGAUUAGGUUGACUCUUUAUGCUGUUAUGUGAAAAUGAUUGGUUAUUUCUAUUUAUGAUUUAGGGAUUUAGAUUAUUAGAUUUUGCGAUUUUAUCAUCUGUAGUUUUCAAUUUCACCAUCUCUCUAUGAAUUUGAUGAAGUCACUAACUUUGUGUUAGUAGAAUUGAAUUAAUUGAACCUGCAAAGUGCAAACUAGUUAUUGAAAGUAAACAAAGGGAUAGAUGCAUUAAGCAAUUAGGAAUUUUGGAUUAGGUAAAUAUUUUGGAGUUGAAUAAUGAUUAAUGUAAUGAUUUUUUUUUUUUAUGUUUCAAAUUAGUUUGUUUCUUUGUUCUUGACUUGGUGUUUUAUCUUUUUGUCAAUCCUUUAUUUUACUAAAUAUUUGUUUAUAUCCUUUUCAGAAUUAUAUUUGGUGGAGAAGAGUGGAGCCACAAAUGGAAGAAGGCGAUUCAGCAGGAUCAAGCCGUUUCAGUAGUGGUGGUAAACCAAGUUUUAGAAAAGGUUAGAUUUUCAGGUUUCUUUGAUAUUCAAAGUGAUGUAGAGAUUCAAUUGUAAAUUAACGAAACUUGUCAGACUGUCGUUUUUCAUAUUUUAAUUAUACUAUCUAGCAUGUUUCACCAUGGACUGAUCAUGGUGCUCAUCCGAGUCUCAAGAAAUGCCUAUUGAAUAAAUACUAUUAGAACUCCUAAUAUAAAAUGUAUUUCCUCGCACUUUUAUACUAUCAAUCUGAAUAUAUCAUGUUGUUCACUCGUACUGUUGAUCGAUGUGUCGCUCGACUUGGACCAUUUUUUUUUUUAUUUUGUUUUUUGUAGUUUUCAAUUUAAAACCAAUAUCACAAACCUGCUGGUUUCAAAAUAUUUUAGAGUAGUGAUUAGUGUUUACUCAAAUUUGAUCCUCUGUCAAACUGAUUAUAUACAAGUUGGUUGGUCUUAGAAAGGGGAGACAUCAGACAUGCUUUUGAUUGGUACAGUAGUAUCAUCUUUUGUAGUGUUAAUGAGUGAUAUACCAACUGCCUUCUGAGUGUUUGACACCCGUUUGGGGAUUCACGUUCUAAGUUGCAGAAAACAGCCUAUGAAAAAUAGUUGCUGAAAUGUUGAAUGCACGGGAAUUGGCCAAAGAUAUAAUAAUACAUGCAAAUUGAGAAACUCCCAUGCAUGCUGGCAUGGAUUAUUUUUCUUCUUCUGUAUAGCUAGUAAACUUUUAGCCAUAUGUAUUAUACUUCACGUCACUAACAUAUCCCAUACUGAAUUGUAUUUGAUGGUUUCAUACCCAAAUUUGGUGAAAAUAUAAAGGGGUUUUCCAAUUUUGAAAUAACGCAGGUCUUACCCAGAAACUACAUUAAUGAUCUGUUAGGUGAAACUACAAGAAUGCUUUAAAAGUUAAAAAACCUCAGUUUAAGUCUUUUGAAUUGAAUUCUCCUAAAAAACGACUGUAUGUGUCUACUAUUUGUCUAUCUACCUAGUUUUCCAUCAUUCAAAGUACUGUAUCAGCUUUUUAUUUGCUAUUGAGUUCACACUUUUGCGAUGAUUCGACUCAAUUUUGCGAACCAACCAUCUUCCCCUGUUGAAUAUGUUAAAAACUUAUCGUCAGAAACAUCCGAACUUGCUAGACGUGAUCUCCCUAUUAAUUAUGCUAAAAUCACAGAUAUGCCAAAGGAUAAAUACACCAAACUUGUUGUUGUAUUGGUUAAACAUUUUAAAUUUGUUGAUUGUAAUAGUGUGGAUGGUGAUUACGUUUGGGACAAGGUCAGAGAUGCUUGGAAACGCAACAAGUAUCAACUGAAAAGAAAAUAUGUUGACGGAAAAGAUCCGGCUGUGGUGAAAGAAGUAGCCCCUGAUGGUAAAUACAUUUUUUUUUUGUAAUAUUUUUUGGGAUCAAUUUUGGUUUGCUGCUCUUCUGUCUUCUCCGUAACGAUGACAAGGUCUUGGUCCUUGCUAGCUAGUAUCGUAUCAUCAUUAUAUGAUAAUAAUAAUUUCACGACUUUGGUUUUAUUGCUAAAAUUCCUACAAUUACGAAUCACACAUUAUGUAAGGUUGAAAUUCACAAUAACACAAUUGGUGCUCGAUACAGAUACUAAAUCCGCUUGUUGUAAGGAGCUAAUAUCUAGGUACAAUAGUUUGCUUCUUACUCUUCUUUCUCUCACUUGUACUUCUUAUUUUGACAAUGUUGAGUCCCUUUAUUAUCUGUUGUUUCUUCACACUUCAUAAUUCUAAUCUGAUAACAUUAAUUAGUUUUUUUAGUGCGUAAUAUCUAUAUCUGUUCGUUCUAAUGACUAGUGGCUUUGACAAUUAGAACCAUAACAAUUCUGGAAUCAAAUAUUGUACCAAAAUAUUGAGUGAAUUAUAACAUCUAGGGGUUUAAACGGACCAAUAUUCUGUUGUUCAUGGCCAACCUUACUGCUUAUAUCCUGGCAAAGUUUCAGUAAGGCAGGACGGCUGUGUAGUUGAUCCAAUUAUAUGUUUUUUUAUCCAUGUGUAGGAUGCUUCAGGGACUACACUUGUGGAUCUCAUCACAACAGACCCGACAGCUGCUCCUCCGUUUACUUCAGGAACACGAUAAUUUAUUUUAUUGUUGUAAUUGUUUCAAAGUCGAUGAUAUACAUGUUAAUGUUGUAACCAUAAUUUUGGAGUUUAUUUCAUUGUUGUAAUUGUUUCAAAAGUUGAUGAUAUAAGGUUACUGUUGUAACCAUUAUUUUGGAGUUUUAUCAUAAAUUUUUGAGAAGAUUUUUCUCUUUUGGAAUUGGCAUUAGCAUGCAGUACUGAAA
rnacentral:lncRNA from 1 species